rnacentral:rRNA from 1 species
GAUGAACGCUAGCGGGAGGCCUAAUACAUGCAAGUCGAACGGUAAGGUCCUUCGGGAUACACGAGUGGCAAACGGGUGCGUAACGCGUACGGAACAUGCCUCUAUCAGAGAGAUAGCCCUGGGAAACUGGGUAUAAUACCUCAUAGUAUUGUAUUGCCGCAUGGUAUUUACAAUUAAAGCUCCGGCGGAUAGAGAUUGUCGUGCGUCCCAUUAGCUAGUUGGUAAGGUAACGGCUUACCAAGGCGACGAUGGGUAACUGGUUUGAGAGGAUGAUCAGUCACACUGGAACUGAGACACGGUCCAGACUCCUACGGGAGGCAGCAGUAGGGAAUAUUGGACAAUGGACGCAAGUCUGAUCCAGCCAUCCCGCGUGCAGGAUUAAGGCCCUCUGGGUUGUAAACUGCUUUUAUUAGAGAAGAAAACCUCAGAUUUAUCUGAACUUGACGGUAUCUAAUGAAUAAGCACCGGCUAACUCCGUG